rnacentral:rRNA from 1 species
GCCUGUGGGUUGUAAACCUCUUUUCUCAAGGAAGAAGUUCUGACGGUACUUGAGGAAUAAGCAUCGGCUAACUCUGUGCCAGCAGCCGCGGUAAUACAGAGGAUGCAAGCGUUAUCCGGAAUCACUGGGCAUAAAGCGUCUGUAGGUUGCUUAUCAAGUCUGCUGUUAAAGACCAGGGCCUAACCCUGGGAAAGCAGUGGAAACUAGUAGGCUUGAGUGUGGUAGAGGUAGAGGGAAUUCCUGGUGUAGCGGUGAAAUGCGUAGAUAUUAGGAAGAACACCAAUGGCGAAAGCACUCUACUGGGCCAUAACUGACACUGAGAGACGACAGCUAGGGGAGCAAAUGGGAUUAGAUACCCCAGUAGUCCUAGCCGUAAA